CGCGAUUGGCCAGCGUCGCGUGACGCACGGCCGAGCUCGGCGUCCAUUGGUCCGGCCUGCCCGGCGGGGCGUUUCAGGACCGUGGCUAUGGAGUCCGGCGUGGCAGCGGCAAUCCCUGGCCAAAGGUCCCACAAGCUCUCCUGGGAGAGUGAGCAGCUGACGAAAUCCCAGAGGCCCUGAAACCUCCCUUCCAUGUGCCUUCAGCCAAAAGCAGAACUGGAAACAUCCUAAGUGGGCCGGUAACGAGGCUAGCUCUGUCGACUAGUUCAAGACCCCUGAGCGCUUUGGGCCUGAGGUUCCUCAGCUUCCAAGUGAAAGGCUUCGACUUGGCAUUCUAAGAGACAAUCUCUGUGACCAUCAGUUUCCUCAUCUGUAAAACUGGCAUCAUGAUAACUUUGAAGGUUUUAUUCUGGGCAUAUAUAUGUUUGGAGGUGUGUGUAUGUUUGGGGAACCUUUGAAUUUGGAAGUACCAAGAGACAAGAACUUGCUGUGUUGCCCAGGCUGGUCUUGAACUUCUGGCCUCAAGAAGAUCCUCCCACCUCGACCUCUCAAAGUGUUGGUAUUACAGACGUGAGCCACUGGGCCCCACUGUGUUCUGUUCUUAUUGCCCAUGACAAUUAAAGUUAGCUCUAUCUCAUCUCCAUGACCAUCACAAACACAUGCCAUUAAUUUUGCUCACCCAAAUCUCUAUGCUCUGACUUCUGGGCACCUAGUACUGGCUAAUGAGCUGUGAGCUGGGCCAGAGCAUAGAAUAGCUGGUGCGAGACCUUUUGAGAGUUCUAUCUCCCUCUGUCAUGGCAACCAGCCAUAUUCAAAAUGGCAACCAGCAAUAUUCAAAAUGAGGGCUACUGCCAGGCAUGCUGGCUCAUGCCUGUAAUCCCAG
rnacentral:lncRNA from 1 species